rnacentral:lncRNA from 1 species
AAAUUAAGAUAUUAAUUUCUAUUUCAAGAAAUAAAUGAUUAUGAUUUAGAUCAACUCUUGAGGUAUUGAUCUUUCCCUUAUGAAAAAUUUGAUGAUGAAAUUACAUUGAGAAUUAGAAUAUCAAAAAGUUCAAGGAUGAGAUUAGGACCAUGAAUCUCAACUUUUUGAAAGUAAAAAAAAAUUAUUAGUCUUGAAAUUGAUUUUGAUGAUGUCAAAAAAGUUUUAGUAUAAAUUAUGGUUACUAAUGAUGUUUGUAAGAGUGAUUGUAGGAUUUCUCAUAAUGCUAAAAGAUUAAUUUCAUUCAAGAGGAAGUUCUCUCAUAAUCUAAGUAAUUUUAUGUUCUCAAAUUUAAAGUUUCAAAGUUUUGAAAGUAAAGAAAUUGAGUUUGGCAUAAAAAAAAAUUGAUAAAGAAAAGUCUAGCCUAGAAAGGCUUCUCAACAUGUCUAUCUUUUCAAAAAUUAAUUUUAAAAAGGUAAGUCUAGUCUAGAAUAUUUUUAAACAAAGAAAGUUAUCCAAAAUUAGAGAAAAUUACUUUUGACAUGCCUGGCAUGCCUUUGAGAUGACCAAAAAAAAUUUAGCAGACUCAAUCUUAGUUUAAGGGAAAAGAUACAAAGAUAUGAAAUUCAAAUAUUUUUUCUUAAUUAAUCAAGUUUUCAUAUGAGUUGAUCAAGAUAGGAUCAUAGCCAACUCACCUAUAUAGAUAGUCGACUCAGCCUUAAACCCAAGAUGAAGACAAAAAGAUUGAAGAUUUCAGAGAUCUCCGAGCCGACCAUGAAAACAAUCAACCA